rnacentral:lncRNA from 1 species
GACAAGACAAUAAGCAUUGUAAUUUACUCUCAAAAUCACAACACACACAACACCAGUUGAAAACAAUUUAGCAACUAAAUUGGAAAAACCUGCAACAUUAUUCAACUCAAUUCGUCGUCAUAAUUAGCAAAUAAAAUCUAAUUUAGAAAACGAUUUAGAUCUCGCAAUCGCAAAGCCAGAUAUGAACUCGAAAUCGCAAAGACAGACGAAGGGCGGGUUGACGACGCAUGAUGGAAGGAACCAAAUUGGAGCUCUGCAAAAGAAUAGAUCUCAGGACAAAGAUG